UACGUAGGGGGGCUAGCGUUUGUCCGGAAUCAUUGGGCGUAAAGAGCGCGUAGGCGGCUAGAUAAGUCCGGUGUGAAAGUCACAGGCUCAACCUGUGAAUGCCGCUGGAAACUGUCUGGCUAGAGUCCGGAAGGGGCGAGUGGGAAUUCCUGGUGUAGCGGUGAAAUGCGCAGAUAUCAGGAGGAACACCAAUGGCGAAGGCAGCUCGCUGGGACGGUACUGACGCUGAGGCGCGAAAGCGUGGGGGAGCAAACAGG
rnacentral:rRNA from 1 species